rnacentral:rRNA from 1 species
UGGGGAAUAUUGGACAAUGGGGGCAACCCUGAUCCAGCAAUGCCAUGUGUGCGAAGAAGGCCUUCGGGUUGUAAAGCACUUUAGUGAGGGAGCAAAGGUGAUGUGUUAAUACCACAUUACAUUGAGAGUACCUCAAGAAUAAGCACCGGCAAACUCUGUGCCAGCAGCCGCGGUAAUACAGAGGGUGCAAGCGUUAAUCGGAAUUAUUGGGCGUAAAGGGCUUGUAGGUGGUUCUAUAAGUUAGAUGUGAAAACCCUGGGCUUAACCUGGGACGUGCAUUUAAUACUGUAGAGCUAGAGUAUGGUAGAGGAGAGGGGAAUUCCUGGUGUAGCAGUGAAAUGCGUAGAGAUCAGGAGGAACAUCUGUGGCGAAGGCGCCUCUCUGGACUAAUACUGACACUGAAAAGCGAAGGCGUGGGGAUCAAACAGGAUUAGAUACUCUGGUAGUCCACGCAGUAAACGAUGAAUACUAGCCGCUGGAGGUUAAAACCUUAAGUGGCGCAGCUAACGCGAUAAGUAUUCCGCCUGGGAAGUACGGCCGCAAGGUUAA